AUACGGAGGUUGCGAGCGUUAAUCGGAAUUACUGGGCGUAAAGCGUACGUAGGCGGUUGGUUAAGUUAGAUGUGAAAGCCCCGGGCUUAACCUGGGAACUGCAUUUAAAACUGGCGAACUAGAGUUGAGUAGAGGGGAGUGGAAUUUCAGGUGUAGCGGUGAAAUGCGUAGAGAUCUGAAGGAACACCAGUGGCGAAGGCGACUCCCUGGACUCGAACUGACGCUGAGGUACGAAAGCGUGGGUAGCAAACGGGAUUAGAAACCCCAGUAGUCC
rnacentral:rRNA from 1 species